AUAUAGGGCAAAGGUAAAGCCUGAAUUAUCUUACAGACAUGGAAAUGACAGAACACUGAACACACCCGGACUGGAUAUCGGGUGAAAUUAAGUCAGCAGUUGGAAGCAGAUCAGUUGCAGCUCAGCCAGCAGGAUGAGAAGAAUCAGAAAGCAGUCAGUCAAUACCUAAAGCAACUACAGUCCUUCAAGUCUUCCAGUCACAGUCACGAGUCACCAUCCCAGCAGCCUCUAAGAAAGAAAACUGUCGACUUAAUGGAGAGAAAUAAGAAAAGCCUUUCCCUGUUUAUUCUGCUGCCUCUGCUGUUGCUCUGCACAAGUGAUGAGUGUCCCAGGCUUCCAGAGAAUCUCACUUGCUACACUGACUACAAUAGAAACAUCACAUGUUUGUGGAACAGCACUGAUGAGGCUGCAUGCACCAUACAUGCUCAGUAUAAAUCUCAACGCCUUUCUUACAGCGCUUCCUGUGACCUAAAGUCUGUAGACAUCUCCAGAGCAGCCCUAAAGAAGUGCUCCCUGAUCUUUAACGACACAUACACUGUGAGUGUGUGAAAAAAUCUAUUGUUUUCAAGCCC